rnacentral:ncRNA from 21 species
AUCGUUCAUCUCUCUAGACAUCAGUCAGUUAGCAAUUAGCCGUGAAGGAUGAUUAGGGAGACGGAAGUAGGGGCAACUCCCGAAGGAACGCGCC